GACUCGGAGCCAGGCGGACUUGCAGGCAGCGGGGCCACCGCGGCUGCUGGGCGACCUCGGAGCCCUCGAAGCCCUCUGAGCCGCUCGGGCGGGCGCGGCGGUGAGAGCCCGGCGAGGCGGCCUCCUCGGCGAGCCCGGACUAGCAGGUGCCGCUCACGCUGGGCUGAGCGCACGCACACGCACACGCAGACGGGCAGGGCGCGGGCUAGCGGGGACCGCGCGGGGCGGGCCGGAGGCGCGCAGCUGCCGCCGCCGCCGCCGCCGCCUCUGCCGCUGCUGGUACUGCCGCUGGUGCUGAUGCUGCGGGCGCUCCGCCAAAGAAGAACAGCUCAGGGAUGUUCAGCGGAGGCAUCAGAGGGCACACAACUUGCUGCCCACUGCAAAGUUGCCGCUUGCCACUUCCUUAUUAUUCGGUUUUCAUCUCCAGGCUGCAAGUCCAAGGAGAGGAUCGAGGCAGACAAGUGAGUCCAUUGUGUGAGUGUUUGCCCGGCAGCAGGCACCUGGCGACGGUCGAGAGGGGGAGAUGUGCGCCACUCACUAGAAGGCUGCCAAAGAUCAGCUACAAGCCAGGCGGCUGAGCAGUGCUUUGGAAGGUGGAAGAAACAAGGAGUUCACCAAGCAUCUGCUGAGGGAUGCCUGUCCCUGGAACAAAGAUGCCAUCAGCCAAUCACUGACUGCUUUGGGAUUCUUCUACUGCUGCCUGUUGCAGAAUCAGCUUUCUGGGCUCUGCAAUGAAUUAAUUUUUCUUCAUCUUUCAUAAACUAUUCUAUCAAACCCGUUUCUCUGUAUUGCUUUGAAUGUGGUUUGCACUAAAUUAGUUGCCAACGUCUGUAUUAUAAAAUAAAAAAUAAAUACAGUUUGUUGUCUCUCA
ensembl:lincRNA Gm2464 predicted gene 2464